UAUUUCCCUUCUUCCUUCCCAAAAGGUCUCAGCUUUUCGUGGAUCCGGGGCUUGGCUUGUACGUCCGCCCCCAGGAUUGGAAGGUCAGGGCUCUACAGCCUCAAGUCUAUGGAGGGUGUGUACUUAUCCUGUGGGCAGAGCUGUGUGUGCAGCCCCGAUUGGCUUCAGGGCUGAGAUUUUACAAGACAGCUGGUUAGUCCCAGAGCUGCUGCGACCAUUUGCGGCCACCCGAGGACAAAGUCUGUGCUGAAGGCUGCAGGAUGGAGAGACAAGAAGCACCAAAAUGCUCUGAUAGGUGGGGUCCCUGGACCACUAACCUGCAGCCUGCCCUAC
rnacentral:lncRNA from 1 species